UACGGGGGGGGCAAGCGUUGUUCGGAAUUACUGGGCGUAAAGGGCUCGUAGGCGGCCAACUAAGUCAGACGUGAAAUCCCUCGGCUUAACCGGGGAACUGCAUCUGAUACUGGAUGGCUCGAGUUUGGGAGAGGGAUGCGGAAUUCCAGGUGUAGCGGUGAAAUGCGUAGAUAUCUGGAGGAACACCGGUGGCGAAGGCGGCAUCCUGGACCAACACUGACGCUGAGGAGCGAAAGCCAGGGGAGCAAACGGG
rnacentral:rRNA from 1 species